rnacentral:rRNA from 1 species
UACGUAGGGUGCGAGCGUUAAUCGGAAUUACUGGGCGUAAAGCGUGCGCAGGCGGUUCGUUGUGUCGGUGGUGAAAGCCCCGGGCUUAACCUGGGAAUGGCAUUGGAAACUGGCUCGCCGGAGUGUGGCAGAGGGGGGUGGAAUUCCGCGUGUAGCAGUGAAAUGCGUAGAGAUGCGGAGGAACACCGAUGGCGAAGGCAGCCCCCUGGGCUAACACUGACGCUCAGGCACGAAAGCGUGGGGAGCAAACAGG